rnacentral:lncRNA from 1 species
AUGGCAAGUUCGGGGCUGUCACGUCAGAUUCUCUUCCUCUUGGAAAUGAGGUCGUCACAGAUUCUGGUCAGCUCAUCAUCCUCUUUAGUCUUCUGCUCCACCACCUUCUUCAGAGAGUGGACACACAUCUGCUCCUUCCUCAGGACCGCCUGCAGCGCCAGAGCGUCCGUCUGGGCCUUCCUGGGCGAUCUCCUCGCUUGCCUGCUGGAGCUUCUCCUCCGCCUGCGCCUUCAGCGCCUGGUACUGGCUUCUGGAGAAUUCCAUGCGUCGUUUUGGUGUCUGUUUCCUUGGUGAACUGUUGAUUCUCUUUCUGGGUACAGACUUCAUGGCAGUUUUCUAAUCCAAUGGGGUCGCCCAGAGCAAAACAGGCUUCGAGCUUGCUGCCCACGCUGGGACUUAAGAUCCUGUGUGUCUAUGGGUCCCACAGAGAAGUCUGAAAAAUCACCUUCACAGCUUUGUCUGUGCUUUUCAGUGGCACAUUUUCUUUCUGUGACAGACGGAGAACAGAUGAUCUUCUGGUAAGUUCUGGUGGUGAAAACAGGAAGUCGCAAUUUUCUGUGCUUUUGUCACCAGUGACACUUUCGUCACUGAAGAUAUGCAGACUUAUUCUGCCGGCCACCGCGCGGAGCCCAGGGUGGGAGGUGCCGAGUUCCAAUUGCUCUUUUCAUACAUCAAUAUUUUACAGACUGCUUUAAAUUUGAGUUUAGAGCAAAAAGAUACAUGAUGUCUUCAAGAUAUCAUGAAACUCCUUGGGGAGUACAAAGCGUCUAUACCUCAACAAUAGGUGAUUAAAAUAAAACUCAAAUUAUUCCUUGAGACUGUCUACAAAAUUGACCUUAAAAGUAAUUAUGUCCUCAAUUUUGUUAGGGUGAUUUUGUUUCUUUUUUCUUCAGAAAUCUUUUAGUUUGGAAUAAAAUUAGGUGCCAAGUCUCUUCUUUCUUUAGAGUAGAAGUGUCUAAUCAGUGUCUAUCAGUGUCUAAUUUAAAGGUAAGAUACUCACUGAUGAAUUCUAGACCCAUAAUUUGUCACCUAAAGGACUUUCAUGAAUGUGUCAGGAACAUUCUCUAUUUUUUAGAGAAUGCUAUAAUACACUGAUCUGG